AGCUCCAAUAGCGUAUAUUAAAGUUGUUGCGGUUAAAAAGCUCGUAGUUGGAUUUCUGCUGAGGGUGGCUGGUCCGCCCUCUGGGUGAGUAUCUGGCACAGCCUGAGCAUUUUUCUUGAAAGCAUAAUUGCACUUGACUGUGUGGUGUGGUGUUGAGAUGUUUUACUUUGAGGAAAUCAGAGUGUUUCAAGCAGGCUUCUGCCUUGAAUACAUUAGCAUGGAAUAAUAUUAUAAGGCCUUGGUUCUAUUUUGUUGGUUUCUAGAAUUGAUGCAAUGAUUAAGA
rnacentral:rRNA from 1 species